rnacentral:misc_RNA from 1 species
UCCAAAAUUAGAACUUUUGUAUGAAAUCAUAAAUUAGCACCACUGUUUUAAGACACUACAGGAAUCUAAAUUCAAUUUCAAUCUUAAACAGGCAAGCCUCAUUUAUGCCAAUGGACCUCCAGGAAUCGUAGUGCUGCAGUACACCCUUUCUCGAGCCUUCUUGGAUUCGUUGUCCCAGUUGGUGCUUAGAGUUAUUGCCAGCAGACCUAGCCCUUGGACCGCAAGUGCAACUAUAAUUCCUGUCCAGAGACCCUUCCCUCCAAAGUGGUAGACGAAAGCUAAUACUACAGAACAAGGAAUGCCUAUAAGAUAGUAAGCUCCCAAAUUAAUAAUAGCUCCAAGCUUCUGCCAUCCACAUCCUCUAGCUGUGCCUGAAAGCACAGAUUGGAUGCCAUCGAAGAAGUGGGAGGCUGCAAUCAAAAUGAGCAUUUCUCCAACAUAUUUCACUACUCUUUCUUCAUUGCUGUAAACGUAACCCCAAAUUCUGUGGCCCAGAAUCAAAAUGAAGGCUACCAAAAUGCCUUCUGCUGCAACCAGGAACGUCACAACGCAUACUGCUAGAGAAGCUGCUUGUGGUCGACCAGCACCUAGUUCAUUUGAUACUCUUGUACUUAUAGCUGCACUGAGUCCAAGGGGUAUCAUGUAAAUCAUUGCACAUGUGUUAAGGCUGAUGGAUAGGACUGAGGUUUCAAGCUUUGGAUAAGGAAGUAGACCAGAUAACAAAACCAUCAUCUCAAAUGACCAAAUCUCCAAGCUGAGCAUAACAGCUGAAGGAAUUGCCAGCUUCAGGAAAUUGGGAAUCCCAUGCAGGGCCUCGUUGGAUAAACCAACCCAAGUUUUUUUGCAGGAUGGAGAUUUCCUCACAUAAAGCAUCAAUAAGAAUGCAUUGAUCCAGUAUGAGAUCGUAUUGGCCACUGCAGCACCUUUAUUUCCAAGUCCAGACUUAAAUACCAGAAUCCAACAAUUAAAAAUGUGAAAUAAAGUUGUAAUUCCUGAGAUGAUCAUCAUAGGAACAACAUUGUUCUGGGUCUGCAAGAAUCUGAUAAGACACUCCUGGAUGGCAAAACCAAAAAUGCUAGGGAUCAUGAAACGGGCGUAAUGCCCAGCCACAUCUGAUAUCUCUGGAUCUUGCCUGAAGAGCUUAAGAAUGUCACCAGCAUUCGCCCAUAUCAAUGCAAGAAGAAUGCUGAUGAGUAAAAGAACUAUCACUGCCCUCUGUAAGUGUAUACCAAGCAUGUGAUGCUGCUUUGCUCCAUAAGAUUGACCACAGAAUGUUUCUAAUGCACUUCCCAUUCCUCUCAAAAUGCUGAAGCCAGUCACUGAAGCAAAAGACGUGGCCAAGGAAGCACCGGAAAGAGCUAACUCUCCAAGAUGACCUACAAACAUGACUGAAAUGGCCUGUAAAAGAUAGGUCAGGAAAUUAACAGAUACAAGAGGUCCGGCCAAUACGAGCUGCUUCUUCACCUCCUUGAAAAUCUCAUCUUUGGUGAAUCUGGGUCUUGGUUCUAGUGUUGCCGCCGCUUGAGAGAUUAAUGGUGAUUCAAGACUGGGUUUUUGCCCUUGCACAUCCAUACUUUCUUUUUUGCAUACACACCCAAGUGCUUUCAAGGCAAAAGACUUAUAAGCUUUCCAAUUCAAGCAUAUGAUUAAAUGGAGAAGGAUUAAGCAUAUGCAAUAUUUUCAUAGGUACGCUAAUUAAAAUUUUAUGAGAUUUGGCAUAAA